GUGGGGAAUCUUGCGCAAUGGGCGAAAGCCUGACGCAGCCAUGCCGCGUGAAUGAUGAAGGUCUUAGGAUUGUAAAAUUCUUUCACCGGGGACGAUAAUGACGGUACCCGGAGAAGAAGCCCCGGCUAACUUCGUGCCAGCAGCCGCGGUAAUACGAAGGGGGCUAGCGUUGCUCGAAAUUACUGGGCGUAAAGGGCGCGUAGGCGGACAGUUUAGUCAGAGGUGAAAGCCCAGGGCUCAACCUUGGAAUUGCCUUUGAUACUGGCUGUCUUGAGUUUGGGAGAGGUGAGUGGAACUCCGAGUGUAGAGGUGAAAUUCGUAGAUAUUCGGAAGAACACCAGUGGCGAAGGCGACUCACUGGCCCAAUACUGACGCUGAGGCGCGAAAGCGUGGGGAGCAAACAGGAUUAGAUACCCCUGUAGUCC
rnacentral:rRNA from 1 species